rnacentral:lncRNA from 1 species
GGGAAAUAUUCUUAGGAUCUCCUGAGUGUUAUGUCACAGGCCAUCAUUGACUCAUAUUUGGCUCAGAAUAAAACUCUUUAAAUAUUUUAAAAUGUUUGACUCUUUUCAUCAAUAACAACUUGACAUUUGAAUAUGUGGGGCCUCAGAGAAAACUCAGGACACCAUAAAACAUGCCUGAACUUGAAGCUAAGGUAGCAACAGAGGUCCACUGAAAGCCUCUCCAAUUUUGAGCUUCUUCUUCGGUGGGACUGUAUCACUUUUCCUGAACUUCGUGAAUGUCUUUUUCAUUGUGAUGAUAUGCCACACAUUACCUCUAAAGAAAGAAUACAUUUUGCAAAAUGAGAGGUUGACUCUUGCUCCUGCUUUUACCACAUGACGUGCCUGCCCCAUCCCUCCACUCUUCAUUUUCUGCCAUGAUGGUAGGAGGUCCCGAGACCACCCUAGAAGCCAAGCAGAUGCCAGCACCAGGCUUCCUAUAAAGACUGCAGAACCAUGAGCCAAUUAAAUUCCAUUUCUUUAUAAAUUACCCUAUCCCAGGCAUUUAUUUCUAGCAAUGCAGGAAUGGCAUAAUGCACUUAAUUUAUUUGUAGUUUAAGUGAUAUAGGCCUUAUAUCAUGCACUGCCCUAGGGAGAAGAAAUGGGCAGUUCUUAGGACUCAGACUGGCUCUGUGGGAUUGGGUAAGACAUAUAAUUCUGAUCUUUAUCAGUAAGGAGAGAGGUAUGAAGAGCACAUCUAUAGGAAAGGUUUUGAAGACUUCCAGAAUCUCUGUCAGCCUGAUUGAGGAGGCAUUUUCCUUCCAAAUCAGGUCCAUAAAUAGUAGAAGAGGUGACUUCUUCCUCAAAUACACAGACA